AUGCUGCAAAGCACACCCCACGCGAAGCCAUUCCCGGUCCCCAGCACAGCGCAGCUCCCUGCAGAAGGGGAAGGGGCUCCCCCAGCUCCGGGGCAAAGCCGGGUACAGCUCCACGACAAAACCUCAGCUCGAGGAAGGUCGGGCAGAAGAGGGCUUCCCCCCACACGAGCAAACACUCUCCUGCAGGAAAAUGGGCUCGUAUCACAUGGAAUUCAGCCACUAAACGUGUUUCAGUUUCAUUUCAACUCGGGCUCCCAGUUAAAUGCACCAGCAAGUAACCGGAGACCACCUCAGCGCGUAACAGCGGCGCAGGGCAUCGCCGUCGCCGCAGCCUCUCCAAUCAGCUGCAAAGCUCUGGCUGCAGAGCCGAAGCGUCUCGCACCGGGGCAGCUUCCUUCCUCAAAGGCUGACGCUGGCAGAAGUUCACCACCUCGGACGGAACGUCCCCCUUACUGCCUCGGAGGGAAAUCCUAUCCUCUCGGGCCGCCGGGAGAGCGGCCGCCUCCGCGGGACGGCCGGGAGGGGCAGCGGGACGCGGCGGCAUCGGAGCGGGGCACGCGGAUCAAUUCCUCCCCGCUCAGGAGCGGUGUGGACAUCCUGGAGGCGCUGUCCAAAGGCCCAGAUGCUGACAUUUCCCUGCGCACCGCAACAGACGGCAGUGCCAUGCCCCACGCGUGCCUGGGGAACAACCUCGUUUCAUCUCCGGCCUCUUUACCGAGCAGCCGGCCCCCGGCACCGACUCUCCCUCUCAGGACGAGCUGCGGACACGGACGGGAAGCGGGAGCGGCCCUGCCUUGCACACGGCGGCACCUCCGGGAACCUCCCGGCAGGGUGCCCCACCAGCCAGAGGGCCGGAACCCGGUGCCGAGGGGGAGCUCGGCGAGACGCAGCCGCCGGCAGGGGAACCCCUGCGGGCAUCGCCCCCGCCGCCCGCGCCACCGCCGGGACGGGGGCGGCUUUGAGCCGCGCACAGAACCGAAGGCAGGCCGGGGGCUGCCGGGGCCGGCCCAGCGGCGCUCCGCGGCCCCCGCAGCCCGGCGGGGCCCGGCCCUGGCGCUCCCCGGCAGCGCGGGGCCGUUCCCCCGGCUCUCGGCACGCAAACCCCGCGGCUGGCGGAGCCCUCCCGGGGGCACAGCGGCGCUGGGGGGGGCGCCGCGAGGACGGCAGGGCCCG
rnacentral:lncRNA from 1 species